rnacentral:rRNA from 1 species
CCCUACGGGGCGCAGCAGUAGGGAAUUUUCGUCAAUGGGCGCAAGCCUGAACGAGCAAUGCCGCGUGAACGAGGAAGGUCUUCGGAUCGUAAAGUUCUGUUGAAAGGGAAAAAGAGCGGAGAGAGGAAAUGCUUUCUGAUUGAUAUUACCCUUCGAGGAAGUCACGGCUAACUACGUGCCAGCAGCCGCGGUAAUACGUAGGUGGCGAGCGUUAUCCGGAAUGAUUGGGCGUAAAGGGUGCGUAGGCGGCCUGCUAAGUCUGGAGUGAAAGGUACCGGCUCAACCGGUACAGGCUCUGGAAACUG